UUUAUAGAUGGUGACCAAUUUCGAGACCGUUCUGACACUGCCAUUGGCAGACAAGGUGGUGUGUCAGAUCAAAAUUGAAUGAUGAAUGAAAUGACUUGUCUCAAAAAUGAAAUAUAAUCGUGAAUGCAUUCGAGUUGUUGUCGGAUAUCAAGCUUUCUGUUAAGAAAGUGACUUACAUGUGAUCAAGCUGCUUGCUUGUAUAAUGAUUGUCGGUGUACAGUGAAUCACUUGGCUCGCAGAUCGAGGAAGAACAUUGCCAUAUGUGGUAAUUUCUGUGAACUGCAGGUCACAAUGAACAGAGAGUUUUUGAACGCAAAUGACAGCCGUGGGUGAGAACCUACAGCUACAUCCGUCUGAGGUCCGCAAUAUGUGUCGUAUAUAAAGCAAGCUUGAUGUAGUGGCUUUUAUCGGUUGACGCAGCUUGUGCCACCUUGAUGAACUGUUGAUUGAAAAUGUGGUUGGCAAGUUGUAUCAAACUGCGGUAUGAAUAUCGUGUAUCGGUUUGCAUGGAAUUGAUAAUGAUACCGAUGGUCGGUAUAUAUAAUGAUUGUGGAAAGGGCCUCAGAUUGGGUGGGAUUANCCGCUGAAUUUAAGCAUAUUAAUAAGCGGAAGAAAAGAAACCAACUGGGAUUCUAUAAGUAAUGGCGAAUGAACAUAGACAGGUCAUCAUUGAAUUCCUCCACAUUGAGUGGAUGGAAGGUGUGAUGUUCACGUGGUUUAUGCAUUAUAUCAGCGUGCAGUGUAAGUUUGAUUGAACGUGACAUGCCCAGAGAGGGUGAAAGGCCCGUUACACUGCUUGACUGGUAUUCUGAUAGCUGCGUUGGAGUAGGAUUGCUUGAGAAUGCAGUUCGAAUGAUGUGUGGCAAACCCCACACAAGCCUAAAUAUGGCUGCGAGACCGAUAGCGAACAAGUACCAUGAGGGAAAGUUGAAAAGCACUCUGAAAAGAGAGUUCAUAAGAGCGUGCAACUGUACUCUGCAAAGCGAAUGGUUGGGUGAUGCGGGUAUUUGUUAAUCAGGUAUCUCGUGAAUGUGAUGGCUGUUGCUUGAUGAUUGCAACAAUGUUUGCGAGAUGCUGCACUUGACAUUGCUCGAUGUUGCCUGGUGUGCUGAUGGUAGCGCGAUGCUGUUUUGGAUUAGAAUGUCUCUGACAAGUCUAUGAGAACAGCAUCGUAGGAUUGCUUUCAUGCAAUUGCUAUUAUCGGCGCACUAUGAUAUAAUGGCUAUACAUUGUUGGUUCAAUAAGCGUGCUGCGAGCUAUUUGUUCGUUUGUACGCUGGUCGAGAAAACGUUCAAUGGCCUGGUAAGGGCAACGUCUUUACUUGAGCUAUUCGAACCGUCUUGAAACACGGACUAAGGAGUUCAACUCGAACGCAAGUCGUUUUUCACGAUGAAAUUUAAAGGCUAAGUGAAGACGACUCUUUGUGAGAUGUUAACUGAUGCAUCAAUGUUGAUGGUAAGCACGAGUGAUGAGUGACACGUUUGAUCUAGUUGAUCACUGCACCUGAGCGUUCAGGUUGAGACCCGAAAGAUGGUGAACUAUGCCUGAGUAGAAUGAAGCCAGGGGAAACUCUGGUGGAG
rnacentral:rRNA from 1 species